rnacentral:rRNA from 1 species
AAUCAACGCUGGCGGCGUGCCUCAGACAUGCAAGUCGAACGAUUAAAGCUCUCUUCGGAGUGUGCAUAGAGUGGCGCACGGGUGAGUAACACGUAAGUAAUCUACCUUCGAGUGGGGAAUAACGUCCGGAAACGGGCGCUAAUACCGCAUAAUGCAGCGGCAUCGCAAGAUGACAGUUGUUAAAGGAGCAAUCCGCUUGAAGAGGAGCUUGCGGCAGAUUAGCUAGUUGGUAGGGUAAUGGCCUACCAAGGCUACGAUCUGUAACCGGUCUUAGAGGACGGUCGGUCACACUGACACUGAAUAACGGGUCAGACUCCUACGGGAGGCAGCAGUCGGGAAUUUUGGGCAAUGGGGGAAACCCUGACCCAGCAACGCCGCGUGAAGGAUGAAGUAUUUCGGUAUGUAAACUUCGAAAGAAUAGGAAGAAUUAAUGACGGUACUAUUUAUAAGGUCCGGCUAACUACGUG